rnacentral:rRNA from 1 species
UACAGAGGUCUCAAGCGUUGUUCGGAUUCAUUGGGCGUAAAGGGUGUGUAGGUGGCGCGCUAAGUCGGGUGUGAAAUUUCGGAGCUUAACUCCGAAACUGCAUUCGAUACUGGCGUGCUUGAGGACUGGAGAGGAGACUGGAAUUCACGGUGUAGCAGUGAAAUGCGUAGAUAUCGUGAGGAAGACCAGUGGCGAAGGCGGGUCUCUGGACAGUUCCUGACGCUGAGGCACGAAGGUCAGGGGAGCAAACGGG